rnacentral:lncRNA from 1 species
ACACGCUUCCCCACUGAGGGAAGACCAUGUGACUAUACAACAGGAAGGUAGUUGUUUACAAGCCAGGAAGAGAGCCCUCACCAGAAACCAAAUUGGCUGGCGCCUUGAUCAUGGACUCCUGGGCUCCGGAACUGUAAGAAAAUUUGUGUUGUGGAAGCCACCCAGCCCAUGGUAUUUCGUUAUGGCAGCCUGAGCAGAGGUGGUAGCUAUGUGGACAGUUUUUGGACUUCUCUAUUGUUGCCCUUCAUCACUCAGCAGUGAAGAAUGAAAAUCAACAGAGCUUUCCCCAGCCUGCUGCUUAAGCAGCUGCUAGCAGGCUGAGGCUGCCCAGCCUCAUUAACCCAUUAGAUGCUGCGUUCGCCCGGGAGUCAUUCUUAAUGAGGCUGCUGCAGAUGAGAAAACAGAAGCAAAGGCAGAAAGAUGCUACAUUGCCAGCUUUGAAGAUGGAGGGAAGAGGUCACAAACCAAGGAAGGCAAUGAGGACGUUGCACAAGACAGUCCCUGAUACCCAGAGUUUACUGCCUAAGAGAGGAUACAUCCUUCAAACCAAUAAUCUGCUAAUAGCAAGAUCCAAUAGCUUCAUGGAUAUUGAAAGAAACUGAGAAUCAAAUUUGCAUACUUCUGAGUCACUUGGAAACAAAAAACAAGUACAGUCUUAGAUUCUGAGGGAACAAAAAUUAAAAAUCACAUUAGGAAGAGAAUUCCUAAUGUAGGAACUCAUCCUGGAAGAUUCUUCAGCAAAAGUACAGACAAUAAUAAUAAUACUCCAUGAAGUUACCAUCGAUAUUGAAUGAAUUAAUGAAUGUAAAAACCUCAAAACCCUGCCUGGCCCAGAGCUUUGGAAUGGGUUUGGAUCUACCACUCAACUGCUUUAUGACUUCAGACCAGUUAUUUAAAUUCCCUGAAGCUCAGUUUCCACAUCUUUGAGUUUUUAUUAAUGACCUGCCGACAUCAUACAGUUCAUGAAAUGCUCUGGAUGUGUACAUGCUGAUGAUACGACCUCAGACCCAGCAAGAGCUCAGUGCAGCCCGGAGAGCUGUGAGCAGUGCCACAGGAGGAGAUGACUGGUGAGUGAAAUAAGCAAGAUAGGAGUUGAAGUGUACAUGAAGCAGAGUCCAAGCCUUCUCCUUCUGGAUGUUCAGCUGGAUCAUCCUGACUGCUCCCACUUUCAUCUUGGCUUUCAAAGGCAAGAGGAAAUUAUAAGGAAUAUUCUGAGUGGCUUUCAUCCAGGAGUUCUGUGGGACCCGCAACACCUGGAUGGUAGAUGCAAACAGAUAAAGAAUAUUGGUCACCAAAAGGAGUUCUUUUCAUCAUAGAUCUCUGAAGGUAGACACCUAUUUGCAGACUUCUCAAAGGGCUAUAUGGAUGUGCUCUACUUGUUGGAGGAUUGUCCAUCCACUCUUCUUCCUGUACUUACCAGGACAGAACAGCCGCAACUUCUCAGACAGUUCAUUCUUCUUUUCCUCACCUACUACCAUCUAAGAAAGGUACUUGAUGACUGUGGCUUUAGACAAGAGUCCUUUUCUUACCACAGGGUGGGCAGCACCAGCUCAUUAGAACCAUUUGUGUGACUGACUGAAGACAGCUCACCUUGGAACACUGCAGGCCUCCAAAGAAGUCUACAAAUUCCAUCAGUCAGUAACGGCUUGGAGUUCCAAAGCUUAUGACUCAAAGGUGAUCAGAGCAUGGACCUGGGGCUAGUCUGGAUUGGUAACUGCUAAACUUGGAUACAUGGCUUCUGAUGGCCCUGCUGGGGAGACCAUGUGGAGAGAUGGCAUAGAGCCAGAGAUUCACGUUCCAGGAGCCCUGACUGUCUCAUCUCAGGGAAUUGAAUCUCCUUGUGCUCCAGACCCUAUGAGAGGAUGCCAUCCCCUGCUACCAUCUGACUGCAACCUCAGGAGACACCCCAAGCCAGAACUGAGCAGCCAAGCCACUCUCAUAUUCUUGACCCAUAGACAUUGGGAGAUAAAAACUGAUUGUUGUCAAUUUUAGUCAGUACAUUUUAGGGCAAUUUGAUGUCCUAGCAAUAGACUAGUAUAUUUAUCCAUUGCUGCAUCUUCUUCUGCUUAGAUUAUGAUGCAUGUUUUUUAGCUCCAACUAGUAUCUAAACUUGUCAUGGUCUUUGCUUGAAAGUUUGAUUUUUUGCUGCCCUUGAACUUUACCCCUGAUUCCAAUUUACCCAUUUGUUUUGGUUUAGUUUAAGGAGAUUGUAAACAAGUAUGCCUACAAGGGCCAUGCAACAAAUGCUAAAAAGAGAAGUAGACCUGGGCAGGGAGGCAAGGGAGCGGAAAGAUGUGUAGUACGUUCAGCUCAGGUCACGUUCAUCAUCCAGCUCUGGAAGAUGGAUCCAGUGGGCAUGUGUGCCUAAUGAUGCCACAUUAUCUGAUUUUUUUCUCCAAAAGAAAAAUCAAGAUUUUUAUUAAAAAUCUUCUGGUUUAAAAAAAUUUAAAUGCUAUUCAAAUUUCAAUAACAACCAUGCCAGAUAAAAAAUAGCUACUGACUGAACUUAGCCAUGAUCUGCCAACUUGCAACCUCCAAAUUAGAAGUUUUUAGCCACUAUGGAUGUUAGGAAGACCUGAAACACAGAAUAGAGAGAUUCCAAUUUUUCUAGUGACAAUGAGUCCUGAGAAAGGUGACAAAAUCAGAAUAACCUUUGGAGAAAGAUAAAUGCUACUAUCAGUGGAAUGGGAUUCAGUCUUCAGCCUGUUGUAGUAAUUCAGUAAGCACAUGUGGUCAUUGAGUGAACUCGCAUGGCCAAUACAAGGUAAGCUUGGCGGUUCCUUCUAUGUCAAACGUUCUAUUUAAAUAGAGAGAAAAGAGGAGUAAUAAUUGUUAAAACCCUUUUGCAGUUUUAAAAAGGCAUAUAAAUAGUAAAGGACCAGUUACCUUGCUUGAGAAAUUUGUACAGUACCUAGUUGUUCCUGAAAGAGUGUACUGACAGGAGCUGAAAAGCCUACCUGGAAGAGAAUAUGGUCCCAAAUUCCAAAGGCAGAAAGGAACACAGGUUAAAUAGAAGGAGCAGUAACAACCCAGACCAGAGAAGCCAGGCAAAGCCUUGGAGACUAGGUAUACAUAGGAGAUAGCAGUUCUCAAUUCCCAUUCCCUUUGUGCCAAGCACAGGCACCGUGAUCCUUCACUGAAGCUCAGUGAACACUGUUCUCAGAGAGAGGUCCUGUCAGCAUCCACCUACCGAACCAUCAAAUGUGUAUCUGUCUCAGUUCUGCUUGGGAGCCUGAUACAGAUCUUUCCAUCACUCAUGAAGGCCCUAGAAUGCAUCCUCUUUUUUUUUUUUUCCUUCUGGAAAAUAUCAACCAGUUUUGGUAGAUUUUACCUUUCCAUUCUCUGUGUCCCUCCAUUAUUUUGGUCAACUCACCUCUGAAAACAGCAAAGCCUCUCAGGUCUACCGUGGGACACGCAGAAUUACAAGCUGAGCUACCCUCUGGGAUGGAAGCAGGGGUCUGGGAGGGUGGCACUAACGCUUAAUAUUAUUGAGUUAAAAUCUCAAUAAAUUAUCCCAGUAAAUCAUACAAUCAGAAAGACAAAGUCCUUGCCAAUAAAUAUGCACAACUCUCUGCCUAGAGACAAACCCACCUUGAGUUCACUCACGCAACCCAAUACCCAUAAACUACUCUCCAUAAAGCAAUGGAAAAGAGGAGCUGAGGUUAACAAAGUUCUUUCAGCCUACCCACGUAGGCUGACAUUUAUCUGCAUGCAUAGAACUCACAACAUUUAUUGUAGCAGAGUACAUAUUUCAGAAAACUGAUUUUGCUUUUUCCUAUAGCUGAUAACCUGGAAAAUACAGUCAUCUGUACUCUGUCUCCCAGGCGAUAGUGCAAAUCAGUAAAGAGUUUCCAUUGAUGGUUCUUUUGCAGACUCUAACCACAAUUGAACUCUCUGCUUUCCAUCAGUCGCCCACCCUGUUGUGUACAAAGAAGCAGAUAUGCAAUAUAGCAGGAGCCCCAAGAAAAGGUCUGGCUGUUCUGUCAAAACUAUUUAGUUCAAUAUUGUUCUCAAUGUGGCACCAUAGCCCUGGACAUGACACCCAGCACGUCCAAACAGACAUGAUUAUAUAUGAGACAGAAAGGCACUUACAUCACUGCGGGUUGUUAUGCUUUAAAGGGCUUUUUCCCCCCUCUUCAAAUUAAAAGUUUUCAAAAAUGAAAUAAAAAUAAACCUUUGAAGAAACCAGAUUGAGACUGAAUUUGGAAGGCCCUCCUGCCUAGUGUAUACUAAAGAAACAUUUUCUGGGUUUGUCCCUGAUGAUUUUCCUUGUAGUUGAGAAACACAAUCCACUGGAAGCUUUUGUGGCAGAACAAGAAUUUUAUGAACACGAACUUUACAAAGACUUCCCUAGGAGAUUUAAGGUCUGGAAAUCAAUAGAUCAAUCAGCAGCUUUUAUCAAUCUAUAAUGGUUCUCUCUCUUUGGAUGUUUGGAUGAAAAUGGGAUCAACGUAAAUUGAACAUGGAAUCACUUAUUCUUACAAGUUAAAUUUGUCAAACUGUAAGGCACAUAAAUGACAUGAAAUGUAAUCAUUUUUGAAUUUGGGACCCUACAGGGUGCACGUUGAUUGAAGAAAAAACAAGCAGAUGUUGCUUCAGCAUAACUCAUAGAGGCAAUCUAAAUGUUCUUCAAUCCCUGACACUUCUGAUCGUUUCCCAAAUAAACCAGUUCAUUAGUUAA